rnacentral:rRNA from 1 species
UACGUAGGGGGUUAGCGUUGUCCGGAAUCAUUGGGCGUAAAGAGCGUGUAGGCGGCCCGGUAAGUCCGCUGUGAAAGUCGGGGGCUCAACCCUCGAAUGCCGGUGGAUACUGUCGGGCUAGAGUGCGGAAGAGGCGAGUGGAAUUCCUGGUGUAGCGGUGAAAUGCGCAGAUAUCAGGAGGAACACCGAUUGCGAAGGCAGCUCGCUGGGACGUUACUGACGCUGAGACGCGAAAGCGUGGGGAGCAAACAGG